UUUGGCAAUGGUAGAACUCACA
rnacentral:ncRNA from 22 species